rnacentral:rRNA from 1 species
GACGAACGCUGGCGGCGUGCCUAAUACAUGCAAGUAGAACGCUGAAGGAGGAGCUUGCUUCUCUGGAUGAGUUGCGAACGGGUGAGUAACGCGUAGGUAACCUGCCUGGUAGCGGGGGAUAACUAUUGGAAACGAUAGCUAAUACCCAUAAUAGCAGUUAUUGCAUGAUAACUGUUUGAAAGGUGCAAUUGCACCACUACCAGAUGGACCUGCGUUGUAUUAGCUAGUUGGUGGGGUAACGGCUCACCAAGGCGACGAUACAUAGCCGACCUGAGAGGGUGAUCGGCCACACUGGGACUGAGACACGGCCCAGACUCCUACGGGAGGCAGCAGUAGGGAAUCUUCGGCAAUGGACGGAAGUCUGACCGAGCAACGCCGCGUGAGUGAAGAAGGUUUUCGGAUCGUAAAGCUCUGUUGUAAGAGAAGAACGAGUGUGAGAGUGGAAAGUUCACACUGUGACGGUAUCUUACCAGAAAGGGACGGCUAACUACGUG